GGGCCCGCACAAGCGGUGGAGUAUGUGGUUUAAUUCGAAGAUACGCGCAGAACCUUACCAACACUUGACAUGUUCGUCGCGAGACCAAGAGAUUGGUUUCUUCAUUUAGUUGGACGAAACACAGGUGCUGCAUGGCUGUCGUCAGCUCGUGUCGUGAGAUGUUGGGUUAAGUCCCGCAACGAGCGCAACCCCCUACUUUUAGUUGCCACCAUUUAGUUGGGCACUUUAAAAGAACUGCCAGUGAUAAGCUGGAGGAAGGUGGGGAUGACGUCAAGUCCUCAUGGCCCUUACGUGUUGGGCUACACACGUGCUACAAUGGCACUUACAAUGGGAAGCAAAGAGGCGACUCCUAGCUAAUCCCAAAAAUGUGUCUCAGUUCGGAUUGUCACUCUGCAACUCGAGUGCAUGAAGCUGGAAUUGCUAGUAAUCGCGAAU
rnacentral:rRNA from 1 species